GACGAAGGAUGCAAGCGUUAUCCGGAUUCAUUGGGUUUAAAGGGAGCGUAGGUGGCCUUAUAAGUCAGUGGUGAAAUCUCUCAGCUUAACUGAGAAAUUGCCAUUGAUACUGUAGGGCUUGAGUAUAGUUGCCGUUGGCGGAAUAUGACAUGUAGUGGUGAAAUACAUAGAGAUGUCAUAGAACACCGAUUGCGAAGGCAGCUGACGAAACUAUAACUGACACUGAGGCUCGAAAGUGAGGGGAUCAAACAGG
rnacentral:rRNA from 1 species